AGAACUGAACGGCGACUCUUAUAAUCUAACCGAGAAUGGUCUUGAGGUAUGUUUCCGGGUAAUUAACCCUACCUCCCAUCACCCAUCCUAUGCGCCACCUAAUGUUUCACAUUUAGGUUAUUAAAUAUGUAUUAACUAAAAUUAUAAAUUUUAAUUUCAAGAAAAAAAUUGUCUUAUAAAUAUCAAUAUUUCGCCUCCUUCCACGUGAAACUAACUAGAAGACACCCCCUGACAUAGUCCUAAUUAUACUGUUCAAUGCCAUGUUUAAUGAAAUAUAAAAGGAAUUCGACGAUCCUAGUCUGAG